CCUACGGGAGGCAGCAGUGGGGAAUAUUGCACAAUGGGGGAAACCCUGAUGCAGCGACGCCGCGUGAGUGAAGAAGUAUUUCGGUACGUAAAGCUCUAUCAGCAGGGAAGAAAAUGACGGUACCUGACUAAGAAGCCCCGGCUAACUACGUGCCAGCAUCCGCGGUAAUACGUAGGGGGCAAGCGUUAUCCGGAUUUACUGGGUGUAAAGGGAGCGUAGACGGCAGCGCAAGUCUGGAGUGAAAUCCCAUGGCUUAACCAUGGAACUGCUUUGGAAACUGUGCAGCUAGAGUGCAGGAGAGGUAAGCGGAAUUCCUAGUGUAGCGGUGAAAUGCGUAGAUAUUAGGAGGAACACCAGUGGCGAAGGCGGCUUACUGGACUGUAACUGACGUUGAGGCUCGAAAGCGUGGGGAGCAAACAGGAUUAGAUACCCCUGUAGUC
rnacentral:rRNA from 1 species